rnacentral:rRNA from 1 species
AACGAACGCUGGCGGCAUGCCUAACACAUGCAAGUCGAACGAGACCUUCGGGUUUAGUGGCUCACGGGUGCGUAACGCGUGGGAACCUGCCCUUAGGUUCGGAAUAACUCCCCGGAAGGGGUGCUAAUAACGGAUAAUGUCUUCGGACCAAAGAUUUAUCGCCUUUGGAUGGGCCCGCGUUGGUUUAGCUAGUUGGUAGGGUAAAAGCCUACCAAGGCGACGAGCCAUAGCUGGUCUGAGAGGAUGAUCAGCCACACUGGGACUGAGACACGGCCCAGACUCCUACGGGAGGCAGCAGUGGGGAAUAUUGGACAAUGGGCGAAAGCCUGAUCCAGCAAUGCCGCGUGAGUGAUGAAGGCCUUAGGGUUGUAAAGCUCUUUUACCCGGGAUGAUAAUGACAGUACCGGGAGAAUAAGCUCCGGCUAACUCCGUG